UUUCGAGACUUGUAUGGCAUACUGCCUCUUCUCCUGACAGUCAAUCAUUGCCGUCCCCUGUAGCAGUGCAGCCGCCUCGCACCGAAAACGUGAUCUUCCUGACCACUAGAGCGAUGGCGGGCAACACAAGUCAUGUGAAACAGCUGCUGUCCACGGCGCGGAUGUACCGCCGGUCGGAUAUGCUGCACGACAUUGUGUGCGAAGUGCGCGACGCGGAAAUGACAACCAGCAGGUUCUCUGCGGAACUGCGCGUGCUGUGCGCUGAAGUUGCGGUCGAGCUCAAGCAGUGGUCAGCCGCUGCGGAGCUGCUAAAAGGGCUCGGCGCCGCGCAGGAAACGCGACUGCUUGCAGUGCGCCGCGCCUUCUGCGAGGUGCUCGUGUCGCUUCACCACGUAGACGAGAAUACCUCCUUGACCGAGGACGAAAAAGUGCAGGAGUACGUCGCUGGCGCGGCGAGCGCGCUACAGGCGUUGGCGGAGGCGGUCGAGGUGUGGCCCGACAGCCUCGACGCUGUUCUCACGGGCAUUCGCACACUGUGGCUCAUCGCCAGCCCUCUCCUCUCCGCAGGCCACGAGGCGGACGUGUGCGACGCCGUCGCGUUCCUUGCCACCCUCCAUCAGCAACUCCACAUCGGUGGCGGGUACACGCUGGUGCAGUGGCUGGUGCGGGCCGCGUUGUGCCUUCGAGCCGCAGAGCGACCCAACGACGCGUUGACUCGCUUCUCGGCCGCGCUUGAGGCGGCGGCGCUCAUGGGCAACCAGCGCCUCUUUGUGCAGGUGCUGCGCCUUGCCGCUGGCGUGAUCUUGGUGAAGGAGAAGGCAAAUGUCUCCUCGAAGACGCGCUCUGACUUGCUGCCCAGCUACCGGAACCGCCCCGUGCACUUCGCUGUUCUUCUUACACAUCUCGUGCUUGGAGGAUGUCUGGAGAUGGAGGCGUGCAAGGAGGACUUGCAAAGUGCUUACCAUACCCUCAGUGACGUCGCAGAUGUGGCGCAGCAGCCACCAGAGACCGGCGCAUCGGCACCGCGGGGAAGGAAGAAGCAAGCAGCGGUAAAGUUGCCUCCUGCGAUACGACUCGUCGACACCUUUGCUGUGACGGAGUCCGACGUCAUCGAUGAAGUGAAGAGCGACCUGCUCCUGUGCAUCAGCCUGCACGGAACGCUGUCCCCCGAGCAGGUGGAGGAGCUCGAGCAAAAACGCAGCAGCUCGAAUCAUCGCGUGCGCAGCUUCGCGGCCUUCGCGCUUGUCGUGCGAGAGUCACACCGCCACGGGCUCCGCGGCCUUGGCAAGUGCGCCGAUGCCUCCUCCAUCUCCGCGGCGCACAGGGCCGAACUCCGCACCCUUGCCGGCGAGCUGGUCGAUGUACUCAAGAACACGAACACUAUCCAUGACGAGAGCGAGCGGCAGCACACAUUGCGCACUGGGGCCUCUCUCCUGUGGAACCUGGUGCUUCCUUUUCUGCAGACCAGCACGAUGGGCGACGCACAGGCGGCGCUGGCGGCAGUCGCGGACGUGAGCCAGGCCUUCAUGCCUGCGCUGAGGAAGCUGUUCCUCCAGGUGACGACCCAGCAGUGCCACACAGCCUUCGAGGAGGAUAAUCGCAGUCUGCUUCAUCAGCUGCUACCGAUGCUUCAGCGGGAGUGCCAGCGCGGAGAGGUCGACGGAGCAGCACCCGCGUGCUUGUUCCGGCUUCAGUGGCUCCAGCAUCAGAUGGCGAUCCGAGAGGAGCCCGAGAGCAGCCUGACGUCGCAGGAGGACCGCUGCCUAUUCGCCAUUGAGCAAUGCCGGGGUAUCGCCAACCCCCUGAAGCGCGUUUCGGUGAUUAAGACUGCCUUUCGGCAUUUGCCGUCGAUUGUCGAAGAGAAUGAUGCGCACACAACUGUGGCAGAAGCGAGCGAGUUGCAGAUGGCCGCGCCCGCCGGCGGCGCUCUUUGUACUCGUCGCUCGACGGUCCAGCUGUACCGAGAGCUCUUGGAGCUGUGCAUGCAGGACCUGAGUGCCUCCUUAUACGCUGUGGCGAUGGCGGUGGCCGAGGCACUGCGGGGCCUUCCUUGCCCUUUGCCGGGCGCCGGCGCCGCAGACAUCGAGGAGGUACGAGCCGCCGCCUCCUUGCACGCUGCCACGAUACUGGCGCGGCAGCUAGAGGAGACGGAACCACAUGGGGCGCAGAAGGACGUGCGAUCGGCCAGCGUAGCGGACCACAGGACUGCUGCUAUCGAAGAGAGUGAGAACCGCUUGGCGGCUCUCCUGAUCGAGGCAGCGCAACGCGGAGCGGAGGUGGAGAGCCGGCGUAGCGGCAGUGGGGGCUGGAUUGCCGCAAACGCGUGUGUGGCGUUCCUAAAAUGGAAGAAGCUCUCCUACGAACGUGGUGAAUACCGCGCCCACCUCGCCGAGCUGCUCGAUUUACAGAAGCUCUACACAGCUCUUUAUGAGCAUGACCAGGUUCAGGAUGUGGAGCUGCUGUCCGACCUCACGACGUCGUCUGUGCUCGGGCUCGUGGCCGAGUACCUCGAGACCUCAAACCCUCCGGCAGGGGCAGGAACGUCUCCGCUGGCAACGCAGAUGGGCAGGGACGGCUUCGCCGCGCACGUGCGGCGCCUCCGCAUGUGCGCGAACUGCGAGCCCUCAAACGUGCAGCUUCGUCGCGCGCAUGCCAUGUGCCUCGAGGCUCUGCAAAUCAUCCCCGGCGUGAAGCAGAAGUGGUUCCUUGCCAUGUUAUCCCCUGCGCUGGCGCGGCUUGUCGGCGACAAGCCGAGGUUCUCGCCGCACCCACAGGAGCAGCUUUUCAUCCUUCUCGGCAUACUUGCUGGGCCGUCGGCGGUGUCUGAGAAAGUGGCGCUUCUCAUCAACGACGCCCGCCCGCUGCUGCGCAAGGACCCGUGCGUCCGUCUCUGUGCAUGGGUCGCCGCUGUGGCGACGCAGCUGGGGCAGGAGGAAGUGGCACUGGAGUGCUGCGAGGUGGCUGAUCGACUCUACGCCAGCAAUCGACUGGGCUGGGGCUCCUUGUUGGAGAUGCCGUCGCCGUUCUCCCCCGGCGGCGGUGCUUUGGCGGCGCCCGGUAAGACGACGGACAGCGGCAGCCACAAAAAGGCGUCAAUGGAGCCGGCGCUUGCGCAGCUCGACGGGCAGACGACGUUUUCAAAGCCGGACGCGGAGGACUGGGAAGCGUAUGCGGAGCUGCUCUACAUCAAGGCACAGGUAGGCGUCCAGCACUUGCACGGUCUCGUUAGCGUGGCUCGAAACCGCGCCGUGCAGCUUCUUUUGACAAACUGCGUGAACGCGGCUAUCGCUGCGGUGCAGGGCCCAGCCGCGUCCAAGGUGGAGCACAUCACGAACGCAUACACUCUCUACUACACCUUUCUCCGGACCACUCGCAUUUCGCUGGAGACGGCGACGUUUGUGCUGCCGAGUUUGCGGAUGCUGCUGUCGAAGGCGCUACUGGCGCAGCUCCCCAAGCGCAGCUGGAGCGACUCCUUCACGGAGGUCGUGUAUCAGCUCAGCUGCGUCCUCGUGCACGUGUCGUUGUCGAGUGAACAGGACGACGAUGCCCGCCAGUUAGUGGCGGUGCUGCGCCACCUGCGCGAGCUGCUACCCCCGCGCUACCAAAAGUCCCUCAAGGAUCGGGAGCUGACCGAGGUGUGCUACCGCAAUCCGUCCAUCGACGACUUUCUGCAGCGGUCCAAAAACAUGGAGGCGGAGCUGCAGGCGCGCGGAUGGAUGAUCGUGGCCCUGGCGAGUAAAGACAUCACUGGCGAAGCAGAGGCGUUUGCGCUGGCGCUGGCCGCCUCGCAAGGCGGGUCCCUCGCCACAGCGCAGUGCCUCUUCGAGAAUGCGUAUGCGGCAACCUUGCGGAGGGGAGACUCGACUCCGCUGGCGCAGGUGACUCGCCACUUGCAGGAGGCCCUGCGCACACUCGAAGGGCUCCCUGCGGCGGCGCCACUUCUGCAAAGUCUCGAGGAAACGGAUCGCUGGCACGCCACCCUGGCCGACGCGUCACUCACUGCCACGUUUCUGCGCUCGCAGCCACAGCGCCACUGCCCGCACAACGGCGACGUUGCCGGCGAGGUGGCCGAAGCAGCACGCGGAGAGCGACAGGCCGCGCCGCUGAAGGCAUCCGUGAAGGCGCACUCCACAAAAAUCACAGGGGUCACCUUCCAUCACGCAUUUCUGGGGCUGCGCAUCGUCUCGCUGCUCUUCAGGACGACGCCGAGUCACGAUGUUGUCGAAGUUGGGGCAGCAUCUGUCAAGGCAGCGAAGUACGCCCCAGCCCCUGCGUCGCGCCGCGACUGCGCUAAGGUCAUGCUUGACUACGUCUCGUGCCUGUGGCACCUCAGCGCCAAAUGGCUGUGCGAGGGCGCCGCGGACGAAGAGACAGUGGCGCUGAAGCUGCCGAUCGACACCUCCCUUUACUACAAUUAUGCUGAGCCGUCGGCGGCCGCGCAACGGCUGCGCCGCUGUGUGCCGGACGAAGAGUUUAAGUUGAACACAGAAGGGCUCUGGCAAUGCUUGCUGGAUCUCGGCGACUACCUCGCACGCACCGGCGAUGAGCCGCACUCGUUCAUGGUGUACUCGUGGGUGCGGUUUUCUGUCGCGCUCGCCUUCGGCGGCGCCAGGGGCGACUCGCGCUGCGGGCUCGUUCAGCGUCUAUGCAACUGGAAAAUGUGUGCGGCAGCCGCUUCGAGCGGCCUCAGCGAUGACCCAUACGUGGCAGCGCUCAACCAGCUGGCCGAUACCAGGUCCCUUGUAGAAGAGGCAGUGAAGCGGGACGUCGAAGGCAAGUGCGUGUCGCCGUCAUCUGAGGCGGCGAUGGUGGUCAGCGAGUGUGAGGUUCGCAUUCACCUCGGCCAAACAGAGCAGGCUGCCACCCUGGCCGAGGAUGUGCUGUGUCGCGGGCUGGAGUGCGCAAGUUGGAACACGGCGGCCACCCGAGCACGGGCCCUCCGCGUCCGUGCUCGUCACGAGGCAAUCUGCUUGCGCUACGGAGAUGCUCUGCGCACCCUCCAGCAAGCGUUUCAGUUGAUCGGCGCCGCCACGCCUUCCUCUGCCCCAACCGUCAUUUCGGUCCCUCUCUGGACAGAGCUAUGCAGCGAUCGGCUUGCUGUGCUGAUGGAUUCCCAGGCCACCGCCGAGGCUGUUCAGUGGGCUGGUACGGUGCGCCAGCAACUGCACCAAUGGCGCGCCGCGGCCUCGCCGAGCGCAAUGCAGGUCGACACCACCCAUACUGCAUGCCUGCGAGCCGAUGUCGAGGACGCUCUAGAGCUGUGGAUCAGCCGUCUCGUCACCACAUUAACGCCACAAGUUCCAGUCGGAGAUGCUCUAUCGCACCCGACUGCUUGCUCCCCCCCCGAGCACCGGCGGGCCGACACAGAGGAGCUGCUGCGUGAGCUUCUCCUUGUCGCGGAGGGCCCCACUACGCUGCACAGUUGUCUCUACACCACACAUGCAAAGUGGCAUGUGCGGGACCGUGUGACGCCCCAGUGGCUGGCGCAGCACAGCGCCAAAGUAGAUGACGUACGGACGCGAUUGUUGGUGCUGCUCGCAGAGAUGAGAGUCUUGGACGAGCUGUCGCUUCGCCUGCAGACUGCGCGCGCAUCUUGCAAAGUCGGAGUGGGCUCGCCCGGUCAAGGCGAGGUCGACGCCGCUACCGCCACCAGCAUGUCUUUCUGGCAAGGCGCCCUCGUCUACUGGACUGCCAUUGACCGCCUCGAGGCGAGCGAACUUGCAUCGUACCUCCUCGUCGCCUUUCGGCACCUGUCCAUGGAGGAUCUGCAGCUGCCAACAUCGAGUGCCCCAGCCCACUGCGAGAGGGAGGUGUUACGGUUCAUUCGCGGCGCGGCGUCGUCGUCGUGCGCCGCCACAGUCGAACGUGCACCCCAUGCGGAGGAGCAGGCAGUCAUGGUCGGCGCGCGCUGGCAAAGAGACGGCGCGCGUGAGACAGACGAGCUCCGGCAAGCGCUGCAGCACUACAGCGUGACCGAUGCACGUGCCCAGUACAUAAUGGAUGUGUCCGCGGUGCCCGCUCUGCUGGAAAAGGCAGCGGCGCAUUGCCGCCAGUGGCCGCACACCCGUCUGGCAGCGGCGAUCGUGGUGGCUGUGGCGCAGGUAGAGGUGCUUCAGCGCGUCGAGAAUCAGCUGGAGCAGUGCGACGACCUUGUCGGCGAGGAGCUACAGGCGCAAACGCACGCGCUACUCACGGCGGCGUGGAGUCGCGCGCGGCUCAUCCCGGCACGCAUCGAGAAGCCCGGCAGCCGCAUGCGCAAAGGUGUGCCAGUAGGGAAGCAGCGCAAACUCAGCGAGCCUACCUCAUCUGCGCCGGUGCGCUCGCUUACAGAGGAGGAGGCGGCGCUUCUGCAGCGCAUCUCUCGCGGUAUUCAGGUGGCGGUCCAUCACGGGCACCUCGAUGCCGCCGCUGACCUGAGCGACGCGCUUAGCCAUCUUGCGGUUCUUUUGGAGCGGCCUCACAUCGCCGCCGCUGCGGCGGAGCGAACGCAGGCGAACCAGCUGGUGGGGCUUCUCUGGCGUAGCUGCGUGCACGAGAUGGCGGACGGUGCCGAGGGACGGUUGUGGCGGCAGAUGCUGGCGGUGCAGCCGCUCUUCACGAACUGCACGUCGUACAUGCAGCUGGCCGACCAGAUCGUGACGGCGACGCCCAUGCGGCGCGGCUUGCGCAGCUGCAGUCUGUUGUGCGUGCAGGCAGAGGAAGAGGUGGCAGCGGUCGCGUCGACGGCGCCUGGGAAAGGGGGUCACGCAACAGAGGUGUCGCCGUAUGCCGUCGAUAGCGCUGUGCUGUCGGUCGCCAUGGGCAACUACCGGACUGGCUUCUGCAUCGUCACGCUGCGCCACCCCGACGGCGCUGUGGAGGGACGCCGCAGACACGUGCCUCAGCAAACGUGGGCCACACUUGCCGCCACGCUGCAGAGAAUCGAGACUCAAAAGCAGGAGCAGCUGGGCAGUGCCGACGAUGUGGGUAUCGACGCUGCUGAGGAGCGCGUAACGGCAGAGGACCUCUCGAGCAUGCUGGAGGAGCUGGACGCCGUGGCGUUGGGGCUGUUUGGGGAGUUUCAAGCAUCCUUGCAGCAGUACUGUGAGAAGACGCCACUUUACCUGUGUCUCGCGCCGGAGCUGCAGCCCUUUCCAUGGGAGCAAACGUGCGUUCUGAGUUGCUGCUCUGUCGUGCUGCGCGAGCUGGGCGCUGCGGCGGUGGUGUCAAGAACCGGCGAGCUUCAGCGGUCUGGCAAGCGCUCCUUGCAGCACCCGACGAAGCCGGCUGGGCCUAGCUCCACGAAAGGCUCCUCUGCGGGGCCUCUUGUGUGUCUCGUCGACCUGUUUGGUGAUCAUCGCGAGUCGGUCCCCGCCAUCUGUGGCACAGACCAGAGCAAGUCCAAGGUGCCGCCGCAGUGUCUUCUGACGUGCAGCUCGGCCGGGGUGCCGCCAGAUGCCACGUACCUGACGUGGAUGCUUCGGAACACCGCCCCUGGCGCGCUCAUCGUGAACAUGUGCGGGAGUUUGACUGAUGCUCUGCCGUGGUCCUACCUUGCCUCCCUCACUUUUACGCAACUGCACAGCGUCGUGCUCGCCGAUGGCGCCUUCAACACGAGCUCGCAGUGGCGUGAGGAGCAGUUUCGCUUGUUGGCUUCGGCGACACGGAUAGGCAAGGCCGGCAGCCCGCCGUCGCAUCCACGAUGGAUGACGCAGACGCUCUUCCUCUUGCGAGGGGCCAAGUUUGUGGCCGCCAACGCACUUCCAUGCAGCCCAUGCGUAACGGACGCGCUGGCUCGCCGCUGCCUCUCCUCGGCCUCCUCUGGAAAAGCACUGGUGGAGCAGCUACGAGGGAAGUCGAGGGACACCAAGAUGCCGUUUGUGACGCUGUACGGCGUUCUUCUCGGCAGCGGGCCCUCUAAGGCAAAGGCGUAGGCGACGCGGAACAAUGGGGCGCCGCUUGGAGAGGUUACGCACGGCGGUGCAAGGACGGCUCUUACCUCACCCCUUUUCCUUCCCCUCCUCCUCUCUCCUCUUUACCGUGUGUCUUUGUUGUGUGCUCGUAUGUUCUGUGCAUGUGAAAGCAUGCGUGCGCUCGCAUCGCUUGCCGCCACCACUCAUGUAAACGAGCGGACGUGAUUCUCGCACGAUAUGUUCUACGAGGGGGCGCACUGGCACCCACGCAUCCCCUCCUCGUUUACUUCUCUUGCCUUUUUUUUGUUCUCUUGCAGGGGGAUGGGCGUGUGUUAGGCGUCUCUCUCUUUUCUUUGGCCGCGCGCCCUUUGUGUUGCCGUUGCACGGCGGGUGAGUAGGAAGCGAUGGUGCCGACCUGG
rnacentral:misc_RNA from 1 species